AAGUCGUAACAAGGUUUCCGUAGGUGAACCUGCGGAAGGAUCAUUAACACGUUUCCAAACGUUUGAUUUUUGAAUCAUCCACACCCAACCGUUGCACACCCAUUGGCAAUGUCAUCCUUCGGGACGUACGCCUUGGGAUCAAUCACUCGGCAUGCACUGGCAACAGUGGAUGUUUUCAACCCAAUCCCCUUUUUUUCACCCCUUUUUUUUUGACUCACCCUACCAACCCCUAGUGGCCUGAUCAACUGUGUCGUCUAUAGUAUAUGACAGUCGAAUUUAUUUUAUUUUAUUUUAUUUUAUUUUAUUUUAUUUUCUACUGUGAUACACUCUGAUGACCGAACCAUAUGGAUGUUUCCAAAUGAGUUAUGAAAUACAACUCUUAGCAAUGGAUAUCUUGGUUCUC
rnacentral:misc_RNA from 1 species